GCGACCACACCACGUUGAAAACACUGGUUUUCGUCCGAUUACCAAAAUUAAGUAAUGUUGGGAUAUGUUAGCACUUGCAUCGGUUAAGCUUUGGUACUUAUGUA
rnacentral:rRNA from 1 species